rnacentral:rRNA from 1 species
GACGAACGCUGGCGGCGUGCUUAACACAUGCAAGUCGAACGAUGAAGCUGGAGCUUGCUCCGGUGGAUUAGUGGCGAACGGGUGAGUAACACGUGAGCAAUCUGCCCUUGACUCUGGGAUAACUGCGGGAAACUGUAGCUAAUACCGGAUAUGAGGCUCGAAGGCAUCUUCGGGUCUGGAAAGAAUUUCGGUCAAGGAUGAGCUCGCGGCCUAUCAGCUUGUUGGUGAGGUAAUGGCUCACCAAGGCGACGACGGAUAGCCGGCCUGAGAGGGUGACCGGCCACACUGGGACUGAGACACGGCCCAGACUCCUACGGGAGGCAGCAGUGGGGAAUAUUGCACAAUGGGCGAAAGCCUGAUGCAGCAACGCCGCGUGAGGGAUGAAGGCCUUCGGGUUGUAAACCUCUUUUAGCAGGGAAGAAGCGAAAGUGACGGUACCUGCAGAAAAAGCACCGGCUAACUACGUGCCAGCAGCCGCGGUAACAC